AGUUUAAAGAGACAAAAGAGACUUGAAAGAAACUGCGGGAGUUGAAUUUACAAAAUAUUUCAUUUACUUCAACAACUUUAUAGUAACUAUUUUCAUUCAUAUUUUUUUUCUCCUUUCUCUUCUUAUUUCUUUUUUUUUUCUUUUUUAUAAGGAGUAUGUAUUGACAUGUAUUGACAUGUAUUGACAUGUAUUGACAUCCUUUUACUUUUUUCAUUCAUUUUUUUCUUUUUCUAUUUUAUUUUUUUAUUUUUCUUUUCUUUUUCUGCCAACUUCUCAAAUAUUACAAACAUAAUUACUCAACCUCACACAACUCCAAACAAGACUCUUUAAACCCUUUGAAUAGGGUGAUAACAUUAUUUUUC
rnacentral:lncRNA from 1 species